rnacentral:rRNA from 1 species
ACACGUAGGGGCCUGACGUUGUUCGGAAUCAUUGGGCGUAAAGGGCGCGCAGGCGGCCGUCCAAGUCCGGUGUUAAAUGGUCGGGCUCAACCCGAUCAUGCGCUGGAAACCGGGCGGCUUGAGUCCCGUAGGGGAUGCCGGAAUUCCAGGUGUAGGGGUGAAAUCUGUAGAUAUCUGGAAGAACACCGAUGGCGAAGGCAGGCAUCUGGCCGGAGACUGACGCUGAGGCGCGAAGGCGCGGGGAGCGAACAGGUUUAGAUACCCUGGUAGUCCGCGCAGUAAACGAUGCGCACCAGGUGUCGGGCGGCAGCGCCCGGUACCGGAGCUAACGCGAUGAGUGCGCCGCCUGGGGAGUAUGCCCGCAAGGGUGAAACUCAAAUGAAUUGACGGGG